CCAGGCAUGGUCAAAACGAUGGUGAGCAAGUUGCUCUGGUUCAGAGUGGGCAGCACAUCUGAUGUUCAGCAAGCCGGACCGAGUAAAGCCCACUCACGAGAGAUUGGGCCGGAUCUGGUCAAACCUAACCCGUUCAUUUCAGUUUCGGAUCACCAUCCUUGUCUCCAACCGUGGGCAACAAACACAAAGGCAUCGAUGGACCGGUUACAAUCAUAGCCGUCCUUAUUGUCAUCAUCAGCAGCAUCUCGGAACUCGACUCCUCCUCGUCGCAUAUAAGUCAUUCAAGAAUUGAAUCAAGCUUCUGUCUCUCUCUCUCUCUCGGCCAAGCGCGCCCAGAGAGAGACGGCAGCGAGAUACAGAGGAAAGGGGCGGGAGGGGGAGGAAUCCAAGAAACCCUCGCCACCGGACCAGGGGGUGACGCUUGGCGAUGGCUUCCAAGCGGAUUCUCGAGGAGCUCAAGGAUCUCCAGAAGGGCCUCCAUACGUCUUGCAGCGCAGAUGUUUAAUUAUUAGCGUCGUGUUGAUCUUCUGACUCGAAUUCCUCAUAUCCUCCUUGCGUCUACCUUCUAUUUUGAUUUAGAUGGAGAUUGCUUGGACGCAGGGCUGUACCACUCUGUGAUAGAAUUUCUUUACCUCCAUAGAUAAUUGGGUAUCGAUUCAGGAUAAGAUGAUAUAAAACGAUUGCACUUCUUUUAAUGACAAUUUCAUCUCAAAAACUGUCAUCUAGGUAUUUGAUCUACUUGCACAUACAAGAAGG